GACGAACCGUGCGAACGUUGUUCGGAAUCACUGGGCUUAAAGGGCGCGUAGGCGGGCUGACAAGUCUGGGGUGAAAUCCCGCGGCUCAACCGUGGAACUGCCUUAGAUACUGUCGGCCUCGAGGAAGGUAGGGGCAUGCGGAACUGUAGGUGGAGCGGUGAAAUGCGUUGAUAUCUACAGGAACUCCGGUGGCGAAAGCGGCGUGCUGGACCUUUUCUGACGCUGAGGCGCGAAAGCUAGGGGAGCAAACGGA
rnacentral:rRNA from 1 species